GCACUAGUGGUCUAGUGGUAGGAUAGUACCCUGCCAAGGUUGGGUUCGAUUCCUUGCUGGUGCA
rfam:Lupinus angustifolius cultivar Tanjil contig_11694, whole genome shotgun sequence.